rnacentral:rRNA from 1 species
CAGUAGCCGCGGGAAUACGAAGGGGGCUAGCGUUGUUCGGAUUUACUGGGCGUAAAGGGUGCGUAGGCGGAUUGUUAAGUCAGGGGUGAAAUCCCGAGGCUCAACCUCGGAACUGCCUUUGAUACUGGCGAUCUUGAGUCCGGGAGAGGUGAGUGGAACUGCGAGUGUAGAGGUGAAAUUCGUAGAUAUUCGCAAGAACACCGGUGGCGAAGGCGGCUCACUGGCCCGGAACUGACGCUGAGGCACGAAAGCGUGGGGAGCAAACAGGAUUAGAUACCCCGGUAGUCCCUGUCUCUUAUAA